rnacentral:rRNA from 1 species
GUACACGCUGUGACUAGCAUAUCAAUAAGCGGAGGAAAAGAAACUAACAAGGAUUCCCCUAGUAACGGCGAGUGAAGCGGGAAGAGCUCAAAUUUGAAAUCUUAAAGGGUUUCCCUUUACGAAUUGUAGUUUAAAGAAGUGUUUUCUGUUGAGGUUUUGGUAAAAGUUCUUUGGAAUAGGACAUCAUAGAGGGUGAGAAUCCCGUAUUUGACCUUUACUUUCAACUUUGUGAUACACUUUCAAAGAGUCGGAUUGUUUGGGAAUGCAGUCCAAAAUGGGUGGUAAAUUUCAUCUAAAGCUAAAUAUUGGCGAGAGACCGAUAGCGAACAAGUACCGUGAGGGAAAGAUGAAAAGAACUUUGAAAAGAGAGUUAAACAGUACGUGAAAUUGUCAAAAGGGAAGCGUUUGACACCAGUGUUGUUUUUCUGAAAAUCAAUUAAAGAACUGUUUAUGCUAAGCUGUUUAGACUUUAUCAGCUAUCUGUUUAGUUUUGAGCUUUUCUUUAAUGCACUUUUCAGUUAACAAGUCAACAUCAAUUUCUUUUGCUGUAAAAAAGCUUGAGGAAGGUGGCUUGAGAUUCGUCUUAAGUGUUUAUAGCCUCUUGCCUAUGCAGUCGGAGAGAUUGAGGUCUGCAGCGUAGAUCCUUCGGGGCUAAAUGCAUUUGUGCUAAGUUAUAGCAUUUUAUAGACAACUUGUUGACUAUGAUUUGUCUUGUAGCUUACUCGCUUAUGUUAUUUUACCUACGCUUAGGAUGUUGACGCAUGAGAUAUACGC